rnacentral:rRNA from 1 species
GUUGCGAGCGUUGUCCGGAAUUACUGGGUGUAAAGGGCGUGUAGGCGGCGAGUUAAGUCAGCGGUAAAAGCCCGGGGCUCAACCCCGGCCCGCCGUUGAAACUGGCUUGCUUGAGUUGGAGAGAAGUAGGCGGAAUGCGCGGUGUAGCGGUGAAAUGCUUAGAUAUCGCGCAGAACUCCGAUUGCGAAGGCAGCCUACCGGCUCCACACUGACGCUGAGGCACGAAAGCGUGGGUAUC